rnacentral:tRNA from 1 species
GGUGAGGUGUCCGAGUGGCUGAAGGACGCACGGAAAGUGUGUAUACGGCAACGUAUCGGGGGUUCGAAUCCCCCCCUCACCGCCA